GCACUAGUUUUAGUGGCACAUAUACUAAAAUUGGAAUGAUACAGAGAUUAGCAUAGUUCCUGCACAAGAAUGGUACACAAGUUUGUGAAGCAUUCCAUAUUUAU